UACGAAGGGGGCGAGCGUUGUUCGGAUUUACUGGGCGUAAAGGGCGCGCAGGCGGCUUUGUUUGUCAGGCGUGAAAGCCCCGGGCUUAACCUGGGAACUGCGUUUGAUACGGCAGGGCUAGAGUUCGGGAGAGGAGAGUGGAAUUCCCAGUGUAGAGGUGAAAUUCGUAGAUAUUGGGAAGAACACCGGUGGCGAAGGCGGCUCUCUGGACCGUAACUGACGCUGAGGCACGAAAGCGUGGGUAGCAAACAGG
rnacentral:rRNA from 1 species